CCACAAAGGAACACAAAUAGCCAAAACGUUGUUGAGAAACAAGAAGAAGGUGGUGGCUUGGUUAUUGCAGACUUCAAAGUACCUGAGACAGCUGUGCUAGGCAAGCAGCACGGUGCUGGCAUAAAAGUAGGGGCACACUGCAGCAGAAUAGAGAGUUCCAAAAUAAAUUCACUCAUUCAUGCCUUGUUAAUCCUUGAGGAGACCACAGGAUGGGAAAAGGAUACCCUCUUCAACAGGGAGCAGAAUGAAAAGGCAUCCGAAAGUGAAACCCACAGCAGUGUUCCUGAGGAUGUAGAUAAGUUGGGGCUUUGUAUGUUACUUUGCUGCAGGCUCAUUCAAUCCAAGGAAAACUCUGCUCCGUUUUAUAAUUGUUCACUAAUCAUUCAUCAUAAGGAAAAUCAAGUAUAUAAGCUUUCAAUCGACCAACAUCUCUGCAUUUUAACAAGGCCUACAUCAAGAAAGUCCAAUUUCUUUCCAGUCGUCCUUUUCUCUGAAACAUGCGGGUUUCCAUCAGGUCAGUGCAGAUCCCUUCACUCAGGAGCCACAGAGCCAGUGGCAAGUUUGUGACUCGGUGUCGGGGCACCUGUCAUGAACACUGGUGUACUUUUACCUGGCCCAGGCCAUAUAGGCGAUUUUCAACAACUUGCUGUUGGGCACCAAGUUAAUGACAAAGCUUUCCUUUGAGCUCCUGUUUACCCCUCACACUUCACUGUGGGCUGAUAUGUUGAAAGCAUUUUUUUUGUUAAGGCUAAUUCAUUAGCCUUAGGAAACACUCUGAAAUAUUUUCCUGAAUCUUCUCUGUUUGGACCCUGCAUGAGACACGUCCCCAGCUAAGACAGAUGUUGUGCCCUUUGUUACUGACUCAUCCCCCUCUGAGGAAAGGGAAUAAUAAGCAAACCUCCAGGUGAAGCUGUGGUGAGCUAGGAAUGUGGCAACCUAAGCAGUGUGCCUGGUGACGGUGAAGUGUACUUUGGUAACUGGAUACUUGCAUUGAUUUGUGUAAUUGAGAAAUGUCUCGUGAUGGAACACACACACUCAGUGCACUGAAAUUGUUCCCAGGGCUCAUUACGCCCCAAUGGACAGCCCGACCCUACUCCU
rnacentral:lncRNA from 1 species